rnacentral:rRNA from 1 species
AUUGAACGCUGGCGGCAGGCUUAACACAUGCAAGUCGAGCGAGCGGCGGACGGGUGAGUAAUGUCUGGGCAACUGCCUGAUGGAGGGGGGUAACUACUGGAAACGGUAGCUAAUACCGCAUACCAUCAGAUGUGCCCAGAUGGGAGUAGCUAGUAGGUGGGGUAAUGGCUCACCUAGGCGACGAUCACUAGCUGGGCUGAGAGGAUGACCAGCAACACGGGGACUGAGACACGGUCCAGACUCCUACGGGAGGCAGCGGUGGGGAAUAUUGCACAAUGGGCGCAAGACUGAUGCAGCCAUGCCGCGUGUAUGAAGAAGGCCGUCGGGUUGUAAAGCACUUUCAGCGGGGAGGCGUUACUCGCAGAAGAAGCACCGACUAACUCCGUGCCAGCAGCCGCGGUAAUAC